AAGGUUUUAAGUUAAAAAAACUCCUAGCCUUCAAAGCUAGAAAUAAAUUUACGAAAUUUAAACCUUA
rnacentral:tRNA from 1 species